rnacentral:tRNA from 1 species
AGAAACUUAGGAUAAUUAGACCAAAAGCCUUCAAAGCCUUAAGUAGAAGUUAAACUCUUCUAGUUUCUG